rnacentral:rRNA from 1 species
CUGACCUCAAAUCAGGUAGGACUACCCGCUGAACUUAAGCAUAUCAAUAAGCGGAGGAAAAGAAACUAACAAGGAUUCCCCUAGUAACUGCGAGUGAAGCGGGAAAAGCUCAAAUUUAAAAUCUGGCGGUUUCUGGACUGUCCGAGUUGUAAUCUAGAGAAGUGUUUACCUGUGCUGGACCGUGUACAAGUCUCCUGGAAUGGAGCAUCAUAGAGGGUGAGAAUCCCGUCUUUGACACGGACUACCUGUACAUUACGGGUGCGCUCUCAAAGAGUCGAGUUGUUUGGGAAUGCAGCUCAAAAUGGGUGGUAAAUGCCAUCUAAAGCUAAAUAUUGGCGAGAGACCGAUAGCGAACAAGUACCGUGAGGGAAAGAUGAAAAGAACUUUGGAAAGAGAGUUAAACAGUACGUGAAAUUGCUGAAAGGGAAACGCUUGAAGUCAGUCGCGUUGGCUGGAAAUCAACCUUGCUUUUGCUUGGUGUAUUUUCUGGUCCGACGGGUCAGCAUCAAUUUUGACCAUUGGAUAAAGUCUUUUGGGAAUGUGGCAUCUUUUGGAUGUGUUAUAGCCCAUGGUCGCAUACAGUGGUUGGGAUUGAGGAACUCAGCACGCCGCAAGGCCGGGUUUCGACCACGUUUCCGUGCUUAGGAUGCUGGCAUAAUGGCUUUAAUCGACCCGU